GUCUAUUUAUGCCCUAAAAAAUAAAUGAGUCACUUAUUGGCAGCACAGAGAAGUCUUUCUAAACAUUAUCAGUCAAGCAUAGUGGGUCAUUACUGAAGCUACAUAACAAAUGAGAGGUUAAUGCGGUAGGAUCAUUAGUUUGAUGUCAGUUUGAGCUACACAGUGAGUUCAAGGCCAAGCCUGGACUACACAGCAAGACUCUGUCUCAAUGUCAAACAAUUAUUAUUUAUUAAGACAAUUUCAAUCUCCUGAUCACUUCAUAAUGUAACUUUUAAAAGGACCAUAAAAACUGUGAUCAAGACUGAUUUUAUAAAUGGGAUGCAAAGAUGGUUUAUGCUAUACUGAACGAACAAAAUGAAAGAAAAGUCCAUUAUUAUAGGAAAUGUACAGGAUCAUGUAACAUCAUAGGAUACCAACUGAAGUCAAUAAACUAGAUAGAAAUAUAUUUCAUCAUGACAGCACAUGAAAAACAAAUUCAGUUUUCACUCAGUUACAAAGCCCAGACUUACCAAGGGCAGGUUUACGUACCUACCUUUCCUUCUUAUAUUCAGGAAAUACUGGGAAAAGCCUAGCUGGAGCAAUCAGGAUAAGAAAAAAGUCACCCAAAUAAGAAAAGUAAAAUUGUUUCAGGUUAACAGGGCAUCCAUGAAAAAAAUUAUAAAAACUCAUAAAACAUAAGAUUUUCAAGUCAACAGUAUCUUUACAUACUACAAAUUUAAAAAGCAAAAUAUUAUACAACAUAUAAAACUACAUAAAAUGAUAGAGAACAAAAUUAAACAGGAAAAAAUCUAAACUACCAUGAACAAGUCUAUAAACAAUUUGCAAGGUAUGCCACACACAUUGAGAGAAUUACCAUUGUUACAAUGUCCAUCCUACCCAAAGUGCUUUGUAGAUUACCACUGCAUUAACAAUUCUAAAGGCAUUUUCCCCCACAGGCUUAAAAAAAAAAAAAAAAAACAAAGUCAUAAGAAACCAAAACCUUUCAGUUAAGCCCAAAAGGACCUAAAUAAAAACAAAAAUUCUAGGCUUAACAAUGUAUUACAGGGCUAGAGAUGUCCACUUAGUAUGAAGUUUGAUAAGCACUGAGCGUGCAAAGUAUGGUGGUACAUGCCUAGAAUCAUACUAGGAGAUAAAGGCAAGAAGAUCAAAAGUCCAAGGUCAUUAGGUCAUUCUUGAUCAUUUAGUUAAUCUCAAAGGCAGUCUAAGCUCCAGUAAACCUUGUCUUAAGAAAGAACAGCAAAAACAAAACCAGUAUAUAGGCAGAAAUCAAACAGUAUAACACUGAUACAAAAACAUAAAUAAAUUGUUUACAAAUAAGCAUAUAGUCAAUGGCAGGCAUAGGAACACAUAACUUUAAUUCCAGCACUCUGGGAGGCAGACAGGUAGAUCUCUGUGAGUUCCGGGUUCUACAUAGCACGUUCUAGGCCAGCCAGAUUAUAAAGAUAUUAUCCAAAAAACAAACAAAUGAAACAAUAAAAGCCCUUUAUGUGGUCCACAUAAUUUCAACAAUGAAGUUAGAACUAUAGCUUGAUGGUAAAGCACCUGCCUAGCAUCCUUGAGGCCACAAAUUCAAUUCCUAGCACCAAAACAGAAACAGUAACAGUAACUAAAACAAAAACAGUAUGCACGUAUAUAAGCUUAGGGGGGUUAAAAAAGAAAAGGAAAUCAAAUAAUAGUAAAAGAAAUAUAGUUAAGUUGGAUAGGCUGGCUCAAACCCAAAAUCUCAGCACUCAAAAGGCCUGGGGAAGAAAUACUGCUCCAAGUUUAAGGCCAGCCUGCUCUAUGCUAUCAUGGAUUACAUAGUUAGGUUACCACAAACAAACAAAACCCUGAAAGUAAAAUUUAAAACUGUAACAUAAUAAAACUCCAAGAAUGCUUCCAGACACACCAGCAAAGAAUUUUAGAGCUGACAUGAAAAUUAUGGGCAUUAAAAGCAAAAAUAAAGAAUUAAGGCCAUAUCAAACUAAAGAUUCUGCAUAGCAAUAAAAAAAAACUGAAAAAGCAUGUACACAGCCAAAUUCAUACACAGUAGUACACAUACACACAA
ensembl:lincRNA